GAUUGCCACCCUGAGCGAAGGACUGAACCUAUAGAGUUUAGAGGCUGGCUACAAAUUCCAGCAAUAGCAAAGUGAAAAGAGAGGCUCCUCAUAACUAGAGCGCAUGCACAGGAUUUGAUAUCUUUGGAUGGUAGAAAAGUUUGUAAAUAUGGAACU